rnacentral:rRNA from 1 species
CGGGACGGGUGAGUAACGCGUGGGUAACCUGCCUCAUACAGGGGGAUAACAGUUAGAAAUGACUGCUAAUACCGCAUAAGACCACAGCACCGCAUGGUGCAGGGGUAAGAGCUCCGGUGGUAUGAGAUGGACCCGCGUCUGAUUAGGUAGUUGGUGGGGUAACGGCCUACCAAGCCGACGAUCAGUAGCCGACCUGAGAGGGUGACCGGCCACAUUGGGACUGAGACACGGCCCAG